GGAAGCCAACUAUUUAUUCAUACAUCUGCUCAGAUCACUUUGUGGGAGGUGCAAAGAGUGAUGACCCUCUUCAUCCUGCCUACGUGCCAACUUUGUUCUUGUUCACAUCUUCUGAGAAGAAGAAGAGGAAGGAGGCAUCACUGCAACACCACAAACGCGCCGAGAGGCUCGAUUUAAGGAGGACACCAGCGCAGGAUGCAAGUGAAAGCAUCACAUCAGAAUGUGAUGUUGAACCGGAUGGCGAGCCAGGCGUGUCAACGCAGACGGAUGUGGAAGUGAGGCACAUCAAUGACAAAGAAGCGAAGAUU